CACAGAAGUCAGAAUCACUCUAUUCUUUCGACACUCUUUUUCCUUUUUCUCUCUUCUCCGAUCGUCCUCUUCAUUUUAUCUUCAUCUCACCAACUGAAAAUUGUGUUUCAAGCCUCUGGGCCGCAGAUGAAGCCUUUCUUUGCCUCCACUAGUCAGCUAUGGAAGGAGCAGAAGCUAGCCAAAAAACACGCAAAGUUCGUCAUCAACACUGGCACUCAAGGUGAUAAAGAGCUCAUCAACAAUGUCCACUCUUCCACUUCCUCUCACCAACUGUAGCCUUAAUUUUCCCUGAACUGAUAGCUUUCAUUGUUGGCCUCAAGGAGCAGUUAAUUGAAAACAGAGUCCUACAUCAGUACAUCUUGCUAAAAUCAUGGUCUUCUUGCGGAAGGGAAAAAGAGUCGGCUAAGGUAGAAGAAGAAUAGACCCUCGUACACAAAUUGGGCUUUAGACAAAUGGGCUACUUGGUGAAGGAGAAUGCUUUGCUUUCCAACACUGUCAGAAGAUUAGACAAAGAUGUCUCCAAGACAAGAAAACCACAUGCAAAUGCAAAGUAAAGAGAACGAUGGACAUAGGAGGAGCAUACGCUGUUUCUAGGAGCCAUAGUGCUAUAUGGAAGAAUGACAGAGCAUGGAAGGUUCGCUAGGAUCAACUUCCACAAAUUCAGAGUACUUUGCCUCUGCCUAAGCACUUGCACCACCAUUCAUGGUUUGCUUCUUAUUAUAUAUUCUGGAAUUUUGAGAAAGAAAGUGAAGAGGUGGGAGGUCAAGGUGUUGGGGCUUAGCUCAGAGAUGGAGAAGAAAUUGAGCAGCUCAUCAAGGAGGAGGGUGCUGAUGAGGAGGGUGUGGAACCAGUGAAGGAACAAGAGGAGAAAAGUGUUAACUAGCAUUGUUUUGAAAGGUAAUGCAUGUUGGAUAUUGUUAGCACUUGCAUGCUUGGAUAUUGUUUUCAAUCAUUAUGGUCUAUAUUUGCACAGUUGUUUUCAAUCUUUGAAUACUCAGGCAUAUCUGUUGAUGCAUAGCUAGAAGUGCAGUUAGUAUUUCUUUGAUGUUGGAACAAAGCUUUAGAGAAGAGAACUAAUUCAACAGGUGAGACAUAGUGAUUUUCAACACCAUAUCCUAUUGUUGAGUUACUUCCAAUAUUGUUGAAGAGCAGAGAAGUAGAUUAUGUUGUUGAAAGGUACAGCUUAUGGUGGUGUCUGAUCCUGCAAGUUGGAGUGAAAGUGGUCUUAUAGUAGAAAACCUUGAUGACACUCUUUGUGCUUACAGUUCUGGGUUGUCAGCUCAAAAAGCAAAGAAUAUUAAAGCUACCAGAUUGUUAACAUAUAAUGUUUUGUUACUGUCUAAAUGAAUAAUAUUUAAUAGUUGAUGGAAUUUUAUUAGGCAUACUUUUUGGUUUAUUAGAUAGUAAAACAUUUUAACUGUUGAUAUCAUGGCCCAAAAGUUCAGAAGCUCUUAGAUCAAACAAGCUCAUAUUCAAUUACUGUUGUCAAGGAAUUAAGAAAAAUCAUUGUUCUUAACCUAUGUUGCUCAUGUGAUAUCAUCCUAGAUAGUCCCCCUAUAUGGUUCCCAUCAAGAAUAAUUUGAUCGACUAGCAGAGGGUGAGGGAAUUUUUUUUCGAAAAGCUUUCAAAGAUGCUAUCAGUUUGUAAAAGCUAUAGAAGAAAAAACCAGCACAAUUAUUUAUUCAAAGAACUAAAAGAAAAUAGUUA